GACGAACGCUGGCGGCGUGCCUAACACAUGCAAGUCGAGCGAAUGAGGUUCCUUCGGGAAUGGAUUUAGCGGCGGACGGGUGAGUAACACGUGGGCAACCUGCCUCAUAGAGGGGAAUAGCCUCCCGAAAGGGAGAUUAAUACCGCAUAAGAUUGUAGUACCGCAUGAUACAGCAAUUAAAGGAGCAAUCCGCUAUGAGAUGGGCCCGCGGCGCAUUAGCUAGUUGGUGAGGUAAUGGCUCACCAAGGCGACGAUGCGUAGCCGACCUGAGAGGGUGAUCGGCCACAUUGGGACUGAGACACGGCCCAGACUCCUACGGGAGGCAGCAGUGGGGAAUAUUGCGCAAUGGGGGAAACCCUGAUGCAGCAACGCCGCGUGAGUGAUGACGGCCUUCGGGUUGUAAAGCUCUGUCUUCAGGGACGAUAAUGACGGUACCUGAGGAGGAAGCCACGGCUAACUACGUG
rnacentral:rRNA from 1 species